CUUGUAUAGGAAAGUGAUGAAACAUUCUGGAAACAAAAAAAGGGGGGAGUUGCAAGGGAUUACUCUUGAUUAUAGCAAAUAGCUAAUUCAAAUAUUCUACAUCAUUUUAUUUAUUCUAAAAUAUAAUGAUUAAAGUGAGAAACAAUCCCCUAAGCACAAUGUGGCUGACAGUGCUCUUCCAUUGUUUUUGUGUAGAUAGGACAAGGUCCUUAGACAUUCUUGCCAAAUAGUGUCCUGUUCAGAGCAGUCACUAAUACCAGAUCUUGUUAAUAAGCACUAAUCUCUUUUUAAUAGACUGCGUUUGAUGCCAGAUUAGUAAAAUAAACUCUCAUCUCUCAUGAUGACGCUUUGUUCCUGAGAACUUUCUCUACUUACCUUGAGGACAUUAUGUUUGGAGAUUUUUAUGCUUCAGAAUACAUCUAGAAGACUUCUGCCUUGAAUGGAAAAGGCUUUCUGUAUUGCUGAGACAGAUGUGUUUCUGGGAUGGGAAGGCACCAACUAAGCUAUAGAAGCCAUUCAUAGGCGAAGGAUAAGAAUGCCUAUUCCUUCUUCUUAGAGUUCAAUUUAAAGACAAACAGAAAAAAAAAGGAAGUCCUGACACAAAUAUGAUUAUGAAAAUGGUGAUUUUAGAAGACCAAAACUGGUGAAUUGCCCACAUUUGUAAGAAUAUAGCAGUAAUUUUAAAAACAAAUGAAGGAGCUGCUAUAGGUAUAGGAUACGGUAUUAUUGAAAUCUGGCAAAUUUCCAUCAGUGAAGUGCUUGAGAACUUCCAUGACUAUGUGAAGCUCCCAGGGUAACCUGGUCCAGAAUUUGGGGGAAUGGGAAUGGGGUUCUUAGCAACCUGGGAGACGGCCUACCUUGAUCCAAGGAGACCCCUCUUUUAGAUGAAAGCAUGUCUCUGCACAAUGACCCUGGCCCUAGACAUGGUAUCAGGAAUCCACAGGAGAGUGGAAUCUGUGCUGUGAUGGCAGGAGACACAAAGCACCUGACAAGUGAGGAGUUUGGGUUCUAGCACCAUCGCUUCCACUUCUUGGCUCUCUAUCACAUACAGCAAAUAUCUGAAUGUCUUUCACUCUGACUUUUCUCAUCUCUCCACAUGGGGACAAUAAGUGUUCUUAUGUAUCACUGAAGAUUUGACAAGGAAGAGUCAAGGGAAAAGAUGGAAAUGAGGGCACCUUGCAACGGGACUCUAUAAAGAUGAGGUCUUGUAGUAUGCUUUGGUGUGUGCCUGAGGAGCUCCCCGAAGGCCAGGGAGUCUGUGAAAGGAAAACCAGAUGGGAAGAUAGGUCCGUGGUCCUCCAUCAUUCUGAAAUCCCAAAACCUUUAAAAACAGAGUUUUAACAGAAGUUUUCAGCAAACUUAUUAGAUGAUAAAAACAUAACCUUAACUAAGGAGUAACCAUUUGUGUUGUUGGCUUUCUUUCUGCAAGAUCUAAGAGGCCCGGUGGAAUCAAUAUUCCCAAAACGCUUUCCAGGGUUAUGAGACCCGCUGAAAGUGUAAGCACUGGGAAGCUGUGUAAGCAUGUGUAAGCAUGCUGACCCAGUCAUUCAAAAUUAUGGUGAGCAAGAGUCAAGAGUCUUCCCAACCAGAGGUGUCGCUGUUGCAAAGGGGCCCUCUCACCCAGGUUUCAGGAAUUACAGUUGUCCCUGAAAAGACAAAACACUUUGCCAGGAAGUCUUUGGCAGAGGCAGCCCUGUAACUCAGAAAUUCCAGACUCCUCAAGCCUCAGUGACACAGAUGUAAGCGGUUACCAGUGCGGACCCGCGCUGCCUGACUGCACGUAGCAACACGAUGCACCUAAGGGCCUGGGCUUCUUCCUGUGAUAGAAAAGGGAGGCUACCUCCACGUGUAUAGGGACUUGGCUGGAACAACAGGAGUAGGACCACUAUGUUUUGAAAAAUGCAAAGAGAUUUUUUUUAAUGGAGCAGAAAAGCUAGUUACAUCACUGGGGUUUGCCCAUCAUUAAAUUCAUUUGGUUUAUUUUAUAUUAUGUCUGACCUGCAUGUGUGAGGCUGUAAAUUCUUCUAUGUUUGGUAAAACACUGAGCAAGAAGGCACAACUGACUAAAUACUAGAUAUUCAAGACCUAGCUUUUCUUUUUUUUUAGAGAGAGAGAGAAUGUAUGGGGGGGACG